UGCCCAGAGAGGGUGUAGAGUCUUCCCUCACUGGAGAUACUCCAGAGCCAUCUGGACACAAUCCUGUGCCAGGUGCUCCGGGGUGACAUUGCUUGGGCAGGGAGGUUGGACCAGGUGACCCACUGUGAUCCCUUCCAACCUAACCCAUUGUGUGAUUCUGUGACAGACAUGAUCUCUGCAUCUGUUUGACAGCCAGAAACCCUUACUCUGGCUUGUCCCAGUGCCUUCCUGGCCCGAGCAGCCCCUGGUGACAUCCUUCCCAGCAGGAUGUCCCACAGGCACACGGCUCCUCAGGCUGUGCCACCUCAUGCUCAGCAGUGUGGGCUCGGGUCAGGCUGUGGGUCAGGCUGUGGGUCAGGCUGGCUGGCAGUGCCUGUGCCGGCCGGGAAUGGGAAGGAGGCCCUGGCACCACACAGCCUGCAGGCAGCACGAGGCAGGGCCGGGAGCUGGGAUCUCACCCGCCGUGUGCGAGCUGUGGCAACCAGUCGGACACAUCUCCCCAUCAAAAUGGCUCCCUGUUAUUAGGUGCUGCUGCCGUGCCCUGUGCUGUGGCUGGGAUCCCUGGCUAGGCAGGAUUCCAUCGUUUAAGGGCAAGCAGAACAAAAUGUCUCUCCUUGUCCUGAAGGAGUCUGCAAUCAUCAACGUGAUUUGCCUAAUUUUUAAAGACAGGGAUGUGCCCAAGAGUCUCUGUGGCAGAGAAGUUGAGGCUUAUAUGGGAGGGACUGUUCCCAAGGUCGAUGUGCAUGUCUGGCAAAGCUUGGAUGAAAGCCUGGGAGCUCUCUCUGCCAGGCUUUGAUGCCCAGAGUCCUUGCCUCUAAUCUUUGCCAUCUAUGCAGACAAUAUCAGAGCUAUCAAAUAAUUCCACCACAAUGUGAGCCUUUAAAAAAAAAAAAAAGUCUGCUAGGAGAAGUACACAGCAAUGCCCUCAGAUAAAAGUUAAAAAUUGGAUGAAGCCAAAUGUGUUAUUAUGAUUUUUGGCUUACCAGGUUAAGCUUACGCAGACUGGGCUGGGAAAACAUUUUGUAUUGGUACCAUGAAACCAUUGCAGGAAAUACCAGGAGAUAUCAGGAAACAGCAGGGUUUGUGGAGGCUGCUGUUACAGGCAGGGCUUGAAUCCUUCCAUCAGUUUCUAUCUGGUGUCUCCAAGGCUUUGAGACAUUGCUGGAGAUGGGCUGGGAUUUUUGCUUUCUGUUUCUCAGUUUGUUAGGAAAGAGCUCGGCCUGUUAAAUAUUUGACAUUUGCCAAGCUGGGAGGCUCAAAUACUGAAGGCAUCUGAAGAAUCCAGCCCAGUUCUCACACCUCUCAUGCCCCAGCUACUGCUGACAGACACGUGGAUGCUCCGCUUCCAUCCCUAGGUCCAAUCCAGUCACCAUCUGUGUGUGAUCAAGGUGCUCUGAUACACAUGGAUUCUGCUCACCCCAGACUCCCACAGUGUGGAUUUCUCCUCCAGGCUCAUGCACACCUCAGCUCUGCUCCAUGACCCUCAGCCACAUCCCUGCCCUGUGCUCUCCCUGACCUGAGCCUUUCCAGGUGCAGCUCCCCUGUGCCGCCACCACUUCCUCAACUUUUGCUGGCUCAGGGCAUCGUCUUAUCAGUCUGGGAUAUUUUUAUCAGUCUGGGCUCUGCAGUUCAGUCUGGGCCUCACCUCUGCUCUCCUGGAGAGGUUUUCCUGGCUGGCCGGGGCUGGGAUCUCGAUGCUCUGUGAGUGAGCACGAGCAAAAGUGGCUUGUCUUACCUCCUCCCUCCCCGCUUUGAGGACAGAGAUAAAACAGCAGGGGAGAAACAAGGCGAGAUAAAUUCAGAAAACUCGGUGAGGUGAAGUGAGGUAGAUUCUGUAAUGCACUUCGUGAGCCAUCACAUCCUAUCAUCCCAGGGGAAUCCCAGAUACACGAGCCCUGCAAUCUACAUCAUCAGCAUCUUCCUUUGGAAAGCAUCAUCACGCUAAUUCGUUUCUCCUGGCAGCCAAAUGAUUAAAGUUUUAAAACUAAAUUACACACGUUGCUGUAACAGCAAAAACACAGUAAUGGCUCUCCUCUGUUCCACCUGUCGCCUCUGCUGUAAUGGCCUUAAUGAGCUUUCAGCUUCAUCAUCGAAAAUAAGAGAUUAUCACAUGA